AUCGUUAUCAUUUUUUUUUUAUUAAUUGUAUGCCGAAAAGUUUGGAAAAGGUUGAUUCUUUUUUAUUUACAAUUUCAAGCUCACAAUUGACCGUUGAGGUUAUGUUCCUGAUAUUUGUGAUUCAGCUCUGUAAUGGUUUUGAUGACUCUUGAGAUCCACAAACGAACGGAAGGUGGAAAGAUGCACUAACAGUAGUAGAAUUGAAUGGUAAUUGAAACAAACAGGAAAUUUUUUAACAAAUAGUCAAAACCGAACACUUAUAGCUGAACUCAAAACUGUUUUAAAUUUCAUUCAAAAAAUGAUGAAUCAAAACCAUAACCUCAAAGGACAAUGUGGUCAGGUUGGAGAUACAAGCUAUACUGGGUUCGAUUGCGAUCACUUGGAUGUUAAUACUUUUGUUGUCUUUUUAUAUACGUGACCAUGGUUUGUCGGCAUUCAGGAAGAUCUUUGGAUUUGGAUAAUCAGGCUGGUUUAGACUCGCACAGACUUCGUUCUAAUGUCUCUUAUUGCUGGAACGAGAGCGGCAUUCGAGGUGUUCGGCCACGUGUUACAGAACCUUUGCAUGUGUAUAUCGUGUAACAGACACGAGGAUACUCUAUGUCCUGGGAAACCAAGAAAAUUUCCAUUACGAAAUGAUCCUUGAGCGAUCAAAAAUUUAACCCAGACACUUUAAACACGAAAAAAAAAUAAAUAAAAAAAAUACCACUAGGCUGAGAAAUGUCCUCAAAAGAUACCAGGAGAAAUUUUAAGGGUAUCCAUUUAUUUGAUGUGCUCUUUCAAUCAAUCGACGAGAACCUGCAAUUUUCUCAUCGCUAAAAAACCCAAUUCCUGUGAGGAAUCGUGGAAUCAACAUAAUUAUGGAUUUUCAAAUUCCGAUGCCAUGCCGUGACAUAAACACCAUUUUUAUUUAUACAGAACAAGAAGAUUAAUAUUGACCUCAAGGGGACAAAAG